CGGACAGCGUGAGUGAGUCCCAAAGCUUUUUGCCCUCAUCAAACAUUUAUAGCUGGAGGCCCUGUGAAUUUCAAUAUCAACAUCAUGGUUCAGGUGCUCAAGGAUUUCAUAGUCUGUGAGAAGACAGACACACAGAUAAACGCACACUAGCUAACAAGCCAUGGAGCCCUGGGGCAAUUUGUCAGCCUCUCCGGGCUCUGUUUCAUUUGGAAGGACCUUGAUGGACAAGUUCAGUGCUUCUCAACCUUGGCUGUUCAUUGAAAGUACUUAGGGAACUUAGAAAGAACACCAGUGCCCCAGCUGGCCUCAUGGCUCUGGAGUAAGGCCCAGGCGUUGGUAUUUUUUUUAAAGGUUUUGCUAACUCUAAAAGUCCUUCCCCCAGUCUCCCCCAACCCACCCAGAGAGCCUGUACUCUGUUUAACUCAACAGAAGACAGGAGGUGGGAGGUGAAAAUCACAUUCCCUCCUCUUGGUCUGGUGAACACGUAGUGUGAGCGCAGUGGAGCUCUGUGUUAGGUGACCAUAUGCCAGCCGCCUCUUGGACUCUGAGUGAAUAGCUCACCUCAAUAGAACGCAUAGAACACUCAUUCCAGAAAUAACAGGUGCCCACAUUUUUCUUCCUUGGGAGACACAUUCAUGGAGCCAACAACUAAUUAUCAUACCAAGAAAACAAAAACCGUGAGGGAGAGCAGAGGCGGGCUGGCAGCACCCUUGAGUUGUACAAACCGUGACUCACUGGUGUUCAAGGCUGAAGCAUCUCCGUAGCAUCUCUCUGAGAAGUAUCCUGUGGUUAUUUUGCAAAAGAAAGAAGGCAACGUGCUUUGCCGUGAGCCUGAACGGAAGGAGAGCUCUUCUCCAAUCUCCUGCGUCCUCUGGUUGGCUUCGGACCACACCUGCCAUUGAACUUUCCAUAGCUGGAAUAGAGAACACUUGGCUUCCACACCCCUGUUCUGGCGUGUUCACUACACUAACAACCUCUUCUGUUACGUACAAGGUAAUUAAAGGAUGAGCUUAGAAGCUGGCACCUUUCCUUUAAAGUAAAAGGCAGCUUACGUUUUGCUAGUGACAGUCUCCUGUAAAAAUAACUCUCUUAUUAGCGAUGACAUAAGAGCCACUGAAACCAUCUCCGCUCAUGGUUAAGCUUGGAGCCUGCCCCAUGCCCUUCUGAGGCCCUUUCUCCAAUACAUGCUGACAAAAUCGGCUCCCUGUGCGCCAACAUCAACAUAAUGACCUCACCGUGGAUGAGUCUAUGAGUCUCUGAAGGCUGAAUGAUUCUUCAGAACACGCUGAGGAGAUGAGCUAGAGGCAUGAAUAAAUUGCUUGUACUUUUCCUUGCUGGCUGUAAAGCCAGCAUUGCUCUAUCUAAUGGAAUGUCUACAAAAAGCCACAAGAACUCCAUCGUUGUUGUUGUUGUUUUUCUUUUUAGGCUGAUAGGUUUUCUUUUUCAUCUCCUGCAGCAGGUCUUGUUUGAGAGAACUUUGGAAUGUGUAGUGACCACUAAGAGCAUGGAAUUGAAUUAGCUGAUUGAUUACAAAGAGAGAGCCUCAAUUUAAAAGAUAGAGGCCCAGACCGGGCAAAGUGGAUCGUUCCUGUAAUCCCAGCACUUUGGGAGGCCGAGGCAGGAGGAUCACUCGGGCCCAGGAGUUUGAGACCAGCCUGGGCAACAUAGUGAGACCUUAUCUCUACUAAAGAUAAAAAAGCUACCUGGGCAUAGUGGCACAUGCCUGUGGUCCUAUCUACUUGGGAGGCUGAGGUGGGAGGAUCACUCGAGUCCAGAAAGUUGAAGCUGCAGUGAGCUGUGAUCAUGCCCACUGCACUCUAGCCUAAGCGACAGUGAGACCCCAUCAAAAAAGAAAAAAAAAAAAGUAAAAGACAGAGGCCUAUAUCUGCCCAGUGAAGAUCUGGCGGAGUCAAAACUCAGAAUGAGGCUGGGUGCAGUGGCUCAUACCUGUAAUCCCAGCACUUUGGGAGGCCGAGUGGAUCACUUGAGGUCAGGAGUUCGAGACCAGCCUGGGCAACAAGAUGAAACCCAGUCUCUAUUAAAAAUACAAAAAUUAGCCAGGCCUGGUGGCAGUCACCUGUAAUCCCAGCUACUUGGGAGGCUGAGGCAGGAGAAUCUCUUGAACCCAGGAGACAGAGGUUGCAGUGUCUGAAAUCAAGUCACUGCACUUCAGCCUGGGCAGCAGAAUGAGACUCUAUCUCAAAAAAAAAAAAAAAAAAAAAAAAAAAAAAAAAAAAGAAACAGCUUGGAAUGACACAACCCCAGGAAACUAUCUUCAUAAUGUGUGGUGUGGACAGGGACCAAUGGCAUUAAAAUAUGUGAAAUGAGUUUUCCAAUUAGACAAUUUUUUCAUUUAAAUUGUAUUAUUGUUAUAUUUGAAAAGCAAUGGAUGCCUUAUGGAAAAUAUAGAAAACAUAAGAAGAAGAUUUUGAAAAUCAUUAUAUGCCUAUACAAAAUAAUAAGUGUUACAGCUUAUAUUUUCUUCUAGUCUUUUUUCUUUGUGUUGCUUUUUGGUAACAUACUGUUUAUAUGUAUAAAUAUAUAAUAUUUAGCAGGCACAAAAAUCUUCUUGGGGCUUUAAAAUUUUCAUCUUUAUACUAGGAAUAAUAAUAGUAUUACUAUAUAGCAUAAUAUAGUAUAUAAUUAUAAUAUAGUAUAUAUAGUAGUAAUAGUACUACAUAUAUAGUCUAUAUACUAUUAUAUACAAUAAUAGCACAUAUUAUAUAUGUGCAUUCUCCUCUGUUUACUUAAUGUGCAUUUUUCUAUUUUAAGAUACACUUACCACAAAACAUCUUUUGCAAUGGCCACCAAAUAUUCCACUGUCAUUAUUUUUAAUAAAAAAUUUCCAUACUUUAUUCUAUAAAGCUGAGUAGAAAUUUUUUUUUCCGGCCAGAUACUCUAACCAAAAUAUUGUGAAAUAAAACAAAGGUCCUUUUCCAUCUUAUACAUAGAGUCAUUGAGAAUAAAAAAUGAAAAUAAUAAUAAAGCUAAGGUCCUUUUCAAUAAGUUACAAAAUAAAAUAUAGAAUCUCCAGUUAAAUUUGAAUUUCAGGUAAAUAACAAGAAUUUUUAAAAAUGUAAGUAUGUCCUAAACAUUGCAUGGGAUAUAUAUUUUAUACCAAAAUAUUAUUUGUCAUUUGUCUGAAAUUAAAAUUUAACUGGGCCUGUAUUUUUAUUUGCUAAAUCUACAACCUUAUGAGUGAAAUGAGAAAAAGGGAGGGGACCUGUUUACUUUGCCUAAUUGUUACUAAUUUUUUCAAAAAAGAAAGUCAUUUUAACUUUUUAUUAAUAAUCUACCAUAUGGUAACAGCUAAGCAGAAAAUAAAAGUGAAAAAAUAAAUAAGAAAGAAGAAAAGAAAAGGUAAACAGACAUAAGGUAUUUACAGUCUCAAAAAAUAAAUAGAAGUGAUAUUAUAGCUAACCAAAAUUAUUUUAAAGGUAUAUAACAGGCUGGGCACGGUGGCUCAUGCCUGUAAUCCUCACACUUUGGGAGGCUGAGGCGGG
rnacentral:lncRNA from 10 species